UACACCGAAAACCGGUGUAUAUUUUCGUUACGAUAUUAAUUUUUAAUAUACCGCCAUACCGAUGUAUUUAAUUACUCAACGUUCGGAACGUUAUGCUGCACCGCGACCGCGGGACACUGUUUCAGACGGACCCUUUACAAUGUUGCACUUCUAAGCAGCGACAGCGGUAAACACAGUAGUGCUCUUGUGUUACGUUAUAACGCCUGUUUCACACAUACUCCGUCUGCAGUGCAUAUGCGUUGCGUAUUUUUUUUACACACCCAUGUUAAUGGAUUCCAGCGUUCAUACUGCACGAGGUUGCGGUCCGUCAGUGUGUUCCAGGAGCGGUGUGUCUGCAGCAGUGCAGCGAUCGUUUAUGUACCGGGUUUUUGGCUAGGUUUAAAACAAGAAAAAGUGCACUUUUAGAUAAACAAGGAAAACAAUAUAUAUAUUCACUUUUAUGGAGGCAGAAAAACAAAGUUCAUUAAGACCCGUGGGAUUGCUUGUGAUAAAGAUUUAAAUGCAAAAGGCACGAGACUGUUUCUGUCUGUGGUGUUUUAAUUUGAAAUAUUUUAACAAGAAAAGUAGGCUAAUGUUUGUCCGUGCUGCGGACUGCAUAUGCACUGCAGACGGAGUAUGUGUGAAACAGGCGUUACAGGGAAGAUGGAUGCUGCAGAACUAGUAGAACAUGACACAGAAGAACUUGUGCUAAGAAGAGGAGCCUGGUCUGUUGUUUGGAGGGUUUUUGGUUUCUAAAAAUCCGACGUCGACCAAACAACCAUUUUAUGCAAGUGCUGUCGGGCUAAAACCACGUCUUGGAAUAUCAACCAGCAGAAAAUGCAUUGUACACCUGAUUAUGCAUGAGAAAAAAAAAAAAAAAAAAGUCAUAAACCGGGAAACCGGCAUAAUUUAGAAAAAAACGUGAUAUAAAUUAUUGGUCAAACCGCCCAGCACUAGCAUGGAUGAUAGGAGCAGGAGAAAUAACGUACGACUGGUGGGGUUACCAGAGGGAAGGAAGGCUCUGGUGCAGCCGGCUUUCUCAGAGCUAAUCUUUUCAAGUGGAUUGCUGCACUGAAGGGACGCGAUAUUGAGAUUGAGCGCGCUCAUCGUGUGUUUGACGGAAGAAAAAGUAACUCCGAGCGGCCGCAUACUCUUAUCUUUCAUGUGCUGAGAUGGCAGGACAGAUUGGAGAUCCUGAAGGGUGCACAGCAGGCAUACUCGGUGAAAUAUAUGCAGGAUAAUGCCACGCUGCUGAUUUCAGUCCAGCCACGUCUGCCAGGAGAAGGAACCUCAGACUAGUCCUUGGGAGAAUGACAGCACUGGGUCUGCAGUCGUUUCUCAUCUAUCCGGCGAUUAUUAAACUACGGCACAACGGUGAGCAGAUGAUGUUGGACUAAUUUUAUCAGCUCACUGCCACAGAAGAAGCAUCUUAACUGCCCAGGAGAGGAGAAUAACAAGUUGGACAUGGACACUUAAGUUUCUGCUGUGCUCUUCUAUCCUACAGUUUUGUCUAGUGACCGAUAAGCUUUGAAAUCUUUGAAUUUGACUUUUGAAUUUUUUUUUUUUUUUGAGCUAAUGGAGAGAAGGAUUGAUUACUAGUUCUUGACACUGGGCUUUCCAGGGACAGGUUUUGUGUUGGUGUGGAUCGGUCACGUAUCCAGAUAUUUUUCUUCUUUUUUUUUCUUUUUUUUAUAUUCUCGGUAAUGUGCAGUCUGCUUUGGUUUGGGUUCAAAGUUGUUUGUCGUUCCUUUUUCUGUGCUACUGUUAUUUUAUACAACAGACAUUAAUAUCUUUAUUUAUUUCAUUUGAAUUUUGAAAGGUUUGUGCACUCGGGUGGUUUCAUAUAUAGAGUUGCUUUGGGGAGAUCUCAUUUUACGCGGGAUUGGAUUGUGCCAGCUUCUGGUCAACCAUCUGUUUCCUCGAUGUGUGCUGGAAUUGUUGAUUGCAUUGCAAUGUCUUUUUCUGUCAAAUCUGUUUGGAAUCGGGAAUUGUCUGACCUUGGUUUGUCUGUCGACUUGGGAGAGGGUGUGGUCGAACCUCUAAAAACUCGGCUCAUCAUCUUAUAUAUUUCAAGGUUAUCCAUGGAGUAUGUGUAGUGGCUCUGGGUGUGUGGAUGAUGUCUGUUGUUGUUGUUUUGGUGUUUUGUGGUGUUUGUUGUGUGUAUAAAAAUAAAUAAAAACUUGAUCACAAAAAAAAGAACAUUUGGGCUGUGAGUGUCUGUAGUUUACAUUGUAGAACAAAACGUCAAAGUAUUGUCACGAUAUGUUUACCACAGGCUUUAUUUUACUCAUAAAUAAAAAAUAAAUAAAUGAUAAAAAAAAAAAAACAUUAUAAAACCCAAUAGGAAAAUCUUGAAGAAACCUGUGGUGAAUUACACGUCCAGUUUCUGACAUCAUAUUCCCCCCGCUUUAUUUGAACAUCUCGGGUUAUGCAUGUAACCAUGGUUCUGUUGCAGCUUUACAUCUCAUUCAAACAAUCCAGUCAAGGUAAGAUUAAAGAGAGUUUUAAACUUGAUUUAGCAAGGUAGUUUAGCAAACUAGUUUGUCAAAUACUGACAAUAAACCACAGUUCAGCAUUUAAUGUGUAAUAAACAUGCAAUGUCAAAAGAUUCAUGUCAAUAUUUAAGGUUAAAUGCUUUUCAACCUACAUUUAACAGUAAGUGUCAGAUUUAACAUGGAGAUUGUGAUCAGAGUUUGUUUAACAUGUUGUGGCAGAUCAGCUGUAGAGUUGUAAGUUAUUUUUACUGAUUUGCAUUGUCGAAUAAUUGUGUAGUAGAGGCCAUGGUUUCCCAGAAAUUCAGAAAGUCCAGAACCAUCAACAUCAUCAGAUUCUAGGUUGACUACAAUAACAGGCAUCUGCCUCAUCUCGUAACAAACUUUGAUUUCUAUAGCUUGGUUAGAUCUCACAAUUCUACAUGAGCUCUCAACCGAUGAUGCAUUGGAGCUACCUGGUAAUCGCUUCCCAUGUUUCUAUGUUGCACACAGAAAACUAAAUUCAAUUCAAUUCAAUUCAAGUUUAUUUGUAUAGCGCUUUUUACGAUACAAUCAUUACAAAGCAACUUUACAGAAAAUUAAGUUUCUACAAUAUUUAGUAGUAGCUUAUCAGUGGUGACUGUCAGUUCAUGUGCAUAUAGCAGAAAUGUUCAGAAAAAUCAAUAAAAAGACGUAAACAAACAGACGAUUAACACUAUUAACAGCAAUUAUGCAAUCAAACUUAUAACAAAAUGUGGUAGUUCUGUAUGUUGUCUCUGGGUUAGCAUCAUCUGAGGUCCUCUGAGGGGUUGGCAUCAUCUCUUCUCAGGUGUUCUGGAUCCAGACUGGAGCUUGUGUAAAUCCUAGUUACCACGGGAUGUAAAUCCCGUGGCAAAGCAGAGAAACAAAUAGAGACAUAAUUAGCGUAGCUGCUGUUCCAGCCAAGUAAAAUUAAUUAGUUUAACCCAAGCUAAAGAAUAAUAAUGCACAUUUGAUCAGAUAUAA
ensembl:lncRNA